rnacentral:lncRNA from 1 species
UGGGUAUCAUCAUACUAUGAUGGGUCGAGUCAUUUGGUUGCUUUUGGGUGAAAUCCAAUGGGUAAAACUAUGCAAUACACCGACCACUCUAUUUCAUAACGAACUUCGUACGGAAUUGUAUUGUCCAAUUUCAUGGACCAAUCGAUAUCGAAUUUAGUCCAAAACCUGGGGAUCAUCAUAAUACGGUGGGAGGAGUCAGUUGGUGGGUUUUGAGUGCAAUCCAAUCUUUACAUCUAUGCAAUACAC